CUCUUACAGAUGAUCUGCAGUCGUUGGCCCAUGGCUCCCUUCCAUCUUUGAAGGCAGAAAUGUCCAUUGAGUCUUUCUCACAUUACAUCACAUCACAUCAUUUUGACAAUUCCCCUGUCUCCUUCUUCCAUAUAUAAAGAGCCCAUAGGAUUACAUUGAAUUGCAGCUUCCAGACAAACACUUUCUGAAAAUGGCCAGGGAAUAAAUAUUUAUGUUGUGCUGGCCACAUAUGGUUUAUGUUGCAACUACUCAAUCUCAGCAUUGUACAACAGAAGCAGCUGUAGACAAUAGAUAAAAUAAUGGGUAGGGGUGUGUCCAAAUACAACUAUACUAAUAAAAACAAGCUGAGAGAAGGAUUUUGUCUAAAGCUGGAGUUUGCCAAACAACUAUCCUAGAACAAUGCCCUAUAACUGUGGACACAUAAGCGAAGUGUGUGGCUGAAUUAGCUAAUUAAGAGGUGAAAGUUUUCACAUAUGAUAAAUAGGCAUUAGCUCAUAUUGAUGCAUUUGAAAUGUUUUAACAAAAAUGUGAACUCCAGCAAGUUAGGAAGAAAAUGAGACUUCUGCAAUUAUCAGAUUGUAUAAACUCAUAUCUUAGCCUAGAUUGACAUGGAGAUUAACACAUGGAUACGUGAAUGUGUAUCGUACUACAUCUUCAUAUGUUCAUCUAAUAGUUGUUUAUUGACACGCAGCACUGUAUAAGCCAUUCGUGAUAAAACGGCCCAAAGCACCUUCUGCUCCAUUCUCUGAUGCUAAUUUUAUGUGAACAGUUACAUUCUACAUGUGAUUAAUCAUGCUUUUCAUUUUUAAUUUUUUUAUGCUCCACAUAUUUUGUUUUGUUGCUAGUUUGUGUUUGCAUGGUUUUCUCUACCUAUUGGUGAUUAUAAUUAUGUUUCCUUGUUUAUUUGAUUUAAUAUUUAGUGAAUCAAUAAAAUCUAUGACAAUAUCUUAAUAAUUCUCUAAACUGUCUUAGCAAACUUAAUAAAAAAUAAUUCAUAAUUAAAAGGAGCCAAUAAAACUGUGAAUUAUAUUCUUAAAUAUCCUCAAAAGAGGAAUAAA
rnacentral:lncRNA from 1 species